GUCGUGAGAUGUUGGGUUAAGUCCCCGCAACCGAGCCGCGACCCUGCCUCUAGUUGCCAGCAUUCGGUUGGGCACUCUAGAGGGACUGCCGGCGACAAGUCGGAGGAAGUGGGGAUGACGUCAAAUCAUCAUGCCCCUUAUGACCUGGGCUACACACGUGCUACAAUGGGCGGUACAAAGGGCUGCGAACCCGCGAGGGGGAGCGAAUCCCAAAAAGCCGCUCUCAGUUCGGAUUGCAGGCUGCAACUCGCCUGCAUGAAGCCGGAAUCGCUAGUAAUCGCGGAUCAGCAUGCCCGCGGUCGAAUACGUUCCCGGGCCUU
rnacentral:rRNA from 1 species